UUCUUAUCAGCUUGUUCCCAUGGCCCUUUAUGGCACCAGUAGCACCAUGAAUGCGAUUACACUGAUGUAAAUCGUCUAUGUGGGCAGCACUUGACUGCCAGAUGACCCGUCGUGUUCGCGCGAUAACCCAAAAGGCGCCCAUGGCUUCGCUCAAGCUGUCAGAACUCACCUAUUUAUAAAUGCCAUUUCGCCAUAUUUCCGUAUCGAACCGCGAACUCACAAGAGGCAUCUGGAUCAAAUUUAAUUUGGUGGAAAUCAAUAUUGAUCGUAAAUACACGGGGCAUUCAUGUAAAUGCAUCAAAAGGCCAUCUGAAGGAAAUUAAUUUAUUGCACAACUAGCGUCUGCACUUGAAAGUCAGUGGAAAAAAACUUCCCGAGGCACAUGACAUACGCGGAAAGGUGCUCGAUGUUUCCGCAAAGGCCACUUGAAGCAAUUUCCGCUCUCUUAUACGGCGCGUUACUAUUUCAAAGGAAAAAUCUUAGCCAACUAAAAAACAGCUGCCAAUAUCGUAAGCUUAUUCUCUAGAUAGCGUAUUUCUAGUUUAGCGGUAAUCGCUUACAUUUGUAUACAUAUAUGAUAAUUAACGGAUAUAUCUUUGGUUAAUUACUUUGGCGUAGUAUUUCUUUUGCCAACGUUGACCAUCCUUUGCCGAAUUUCAACGAUUUGAUUUAACAUCGAAAUAUUAACUUAAUUUAAAAUUUUAGAUAAAUGGAUAUAAAGAAUGAAUAUCCUUUUUGUUAUGUUACAAGUAUAAAAAUAUUAUACACAAUAAUAUAAAAAGAUAAAAAUAUAAUUCAUUCUCGAA